UUUUAUGCCUCCCACAGUGAAGCCAAAAGAGUGCGUCUACAAAAAAUGGUUCUGCUUUUGCAAACCGCUUUUCUUCUGCUGAGGAAUAUUCACCUAAACUGAAAUUAGGCAGUUACACUGCUCGAAGCCUUUCGCCAAUACUUCCUGCUGGGGAACUAGAAGAAGUACAGAGGAAGAAAGAGGAACUUGAGUAUCAGAUAAAUACUGUGAAGGACCGUGCAGAAUUGGAACAAAGCUGGAAGAUAGAUUAUUACCUACCUGGUUAUAGGGAGUUGUCAGCCUCCAGACAAGGUGCAGAGAGCAUGUUGAUGAAGACAACAUCUGAAGUGGGGGCUAAGGAAUUUGAACAGCCUCUGAGCCUAAUAAAGAGAAGCCACUCCGUUUUGAAAGUUCCAAAGUGUCAGCCCGGAAACCCAAAGAAACUGCCCAGCACACCAACCCUCAGGGACUCUAAAUGUCUCCCAUUGAAAGAACAGAUGAAGAAACAAAGAAACAUUAUUCACUGGCAGAAUGACAGGGGCCAGAACAGGACAGUUGCAUUGCAAGUUACUACCCAGCUACACACCAGAAACUGUUUCUCUCCUGCUUAAACCUCAAUCCCUAUCAAUGUGAUGCAGCCACCACCAAAUAGCAACAGAGUCAGAAAUGGCUGAGGUCAUCACUGAGUGAAGGCCACUCUCAGUCUGAAUUCUGCUGACCACCGAGCUCUCGGCUUCCUGAGAAAUAGAACCUCUAAUACUGAAUAACUGUAGCAGAAUUGUCACAAACAUGGUCAACCGGGAAACUGAUAAUUACAUUUCAAAGUUGGUAUAUUAAAAGCAUA